AUUGAACGCUGGCGGCAGGCCUAACACAUGCAAGUCGAGCGGCAGCGCGGGGGCAACCCUGGCGGCGAGCGGCGGACGGGUGAGGAAUUCGUCGGAAUCUGCCUCUUUGUGGGGGAUAACGUAGGGAAACUUACGCUAAUACCGCAUACGUCCUACGGGAGAAAGUGGGGGACCGCAAGGCCUCACGCAGAAAGAUGAGCCGACGACCGAUUAGCUAGUUGGUGGGGUAAAGGCCCACCAAGGCGACGAUCGGUAGCUGGUCUGAGAGGAUGAUCAGCCACACUGGAACUGAGACACGGCCCAGACUCCUACGGGAGGCAGCAGUGGGGAAUAUUGGACAAUGGGCGCAAGCCUGAUCCAGCCAUGCCGCGUGUGUGAAGAAGGCCUUCGGGUUGUAAAGCCCUUUUGUCCGGAAAGAAAGCCCUGGGGCUAAUACCUUCGGGAGAUGACGGUACCGGAAGAAUAAGCACCGGCUAACUUCGU
rnacentral:rRNA from 1 species